rnacentral:rRNA from 1 species
UCCAUGCAGUCGAGCGCACUCUUCGGAGUGAGCGGCGGACGGGUUAGUAACGCGUGGGAACGUGCCCUUCUCUAAGGAAUAGCCACUGGAAACGGUGAGUAAUACCUUAUACGCCCUUCGGGGGAAAGAUUUAUCGGAGAAGGAUCGGCCCGCGUUAGAUUAGAUAGUUGGUGGGGUAAUGGCCUACCAAGUCUACGAUCUAUAGCUGGUUUUAGAGGAUGAUCAGCAACACUGGGACUGAGACACGGCCCAGACUCCUACGGGAGGCAGCAGUGGGGAAUCUUGGACAAUGGGCGCAAGCCUGAUCCAGCCAUGCCGCGUGAGUGAUGAAGGCCUUAGGGUCGUAAAGCUCUUUCGCCAGAGAUGAUAAUGACAGUAUCUGGUAAAGAAACCCCGGCUAACUCCGUGCCAGCAGCCGCGGUAAUACGGAGGGGGUUAGCGUUGUUCGGAAUUACUGGGCGUAAAGCGCACGUAGGCGGAUCAGAAAGUAUAGGGUGAAAUCCCAGGGCUCAACCCUGGAACUGCCUUGUAAACUCCUGGUCUUGAGUUCGAGAGAGGUGAGUGGAAUUCCGAGUGUAGAGGUGAAAUUCGUAGAUAUUCGGAGGAACACCAGUGGCGAAGGCGGCUCACUGGCUCGAUACUGACGCUGAGGUGCGAAAGUGUGGGGAGCAAACAGGAUUAGAUACCCUGGUAGUCCACACCGUA